rnacentral:rRNA from 1 species
UACGUAGGGUGCGAGCGUUAAUCGGAAUUACUGGGCGUAAAGCGUGCGCAGGCGGUUCGUUGUGUCGGCGGUGAAAGCCCCGGGCUCAACCUGGGAAUGGCCGUUGAAACUGGCGAACUGGAGUGUGGCAGAGGGGGGUGGAAUUCCGCGUGUAGCAGUGAAGUGCGUAGAGAUGCGGAGGAACACCGAUGGCGAAGGCAGCCCCCUGGGCUAACACUGACGCUCAGGCACGAAAGCGUGGGGAGCAAACAGG